UAAAGCUUCUUCUCUGACGGAAGACGUUGAAACCAUUGGCUUAACUUCCGCAUCUCUUGCUUUCAACAGUUGAGAAACUCUGCCCGUGGAAAGGAAACAAGGACUUCCCAGCAGCUGAGUCAGCCCCCCUGAAAACAAAAACAAAAACAAAAACACAACCCUGAGGAAGUUUAUGAACGCAGGAAAACCCAAGGGGCCUCCAAGUAGUUUCGGCUACCUCGACCCUCAGAUUUGCAGCGCUGGGACCUGGACCCCUUCCAAGACCCGUUCACUCACCUUGGCCAAGUCUUCAACAUUGAAGGAGGCUGCGUCAGGUGGACACAAGAGAGGCUGAUUCGAGUUGCGCCAGGGAGCUGGCGUCCCUGCCCAGCACUGCCCGCCGUCCCGCAGGGCGUGGGCUUCGUCGAGAGCUUCUCCAGUGAAGACGCUGAUGUGAGCCUCAUCGUUUCAACUCCUGAAAGCAGCUGCUGUUUGGGGCGUCUGGCUGGCUCAGUCGGGGGAGCAUCCGACUCCUGAUUUUGGCUCAGCCCCCGGGAGUACCUGGCCCGCCAAAGCCUGUGCUCCCUGCACAUCAUGCUGCGUGCCACGACCGGGACAAGGCCGACGGCAGGAAGCAGGGACCGGAGCUUCUAGAUGCGCCGCCCGCAUGCAGGUACAUACACGUUAAAACAAUCAGACGGAAGAGGUUCCCACGCCUGCGCAAUGAUACCUUGACUGAGGAAAGGUGACCUGCCCUGGCUGGGGCCAGGGCUCUCCUUAGAUCAAAUGCCAUUUCUGGAAGAGCAGCUGGAAAUACCCUGUGCUUUGUUACCUUUGGGAUUGUCUUCCAUAACAGAAAAGUGUUCAUUGUCCCUUGGAAUGUGCAGGGCUCAAAGGGACAGUCCAACACGGUGACAGACGGUCGGGUUGGCGCCUAUCUCUGCGUACGCCUGUGACUCAAGGUAAUUAUUCAUAAGGCCCCCCUGUCACUCUCAGAAGUGACCCGGUUGGAUGGUAAAUUUUAAGAUCAUCGAUUUGUAAUUGUCGAGAAAGGGGGAGACAACGCCUCUCUGUGGGGACAGACCCCCUGGAGAGCCCGCCUGGGUCCGAGGCAUUAGGUUGAUGGAAGAAGCAGCUUUUCUAAACCCUUCCGAAGAGCUGUCUGCUGCACCCACCCUUCAUGGCUCUGAGCAGCCAGAUACCCCAGCUCCCGAGGCCCCGGGAUGCCCUACCAAAGCCAGGUGGACCUGUUGGCCUUCUCAGCACUCCUGGAUUGGAAACACCACCUUAUGCCUGCCCUCUAGUUGACCCUGAGCUGACCAAGAUUAAACGCUGGUCUUGCUUCUUGGCCUCCAGGCCUCAGGCCUUCUGGUUGUAGGUUCCAGAAAGCAUCAGUGCCCCAUGCUGGUGCAGUGACAGCUCCUAGGGAGGCCCAUUCCACCAUCCUAUGCAGAUUCUCGCCUAGGGAGAUGGGACUGAGAGGAAGUGGCUGGGCAGGGGACCUCGGGGAGUCUCAAAGACCUGACACCCCCAAACUUAGUCCUUUGCCUCCAGCUCCAUGGUCAUGAAGGCUGGUCUAACCCCUCAGCCCUACAAGGUUUCUUCCCGCAGGAGGUGGCCAGGACCAACAGGAGGAUGGGUUUUCCUGAGCAAUCACUGGGGACAGGCCAGCUCUGUGGAGAACAUUCUCAUCUAGGGCCUGAUCUGUGAAGUGACUCUGUAACUCAGCAGCUCUGCCUAAACGCUGUAGAACACACCGAUCACCAUGAGGCUGUCAAAACAUUCAUUUAGCUGAUGAGAAGAGCUUAUUAGGGCUUUUAAAAAUA